CGUGUGUGAAGAAGGCUUUCGGGUUGUAAAGCACUUUCAGCGAGGAAGAAGGCCUCUGGGUUAAUACCCCAGAGGAAGGACAUCACUCGCAGAAGAAGCACCGGCUAACUCCGUGCCAGCAGCCGCGGUAAUACGGAGGGUGCGAGCGUUAAUCGGAAUUACUGGGCGUAAAGCGCGCGUAGGUGGCUUGGCACGCCGGUUGUGAAAGCCCCGGGCUCAACCUGGGAACGGCAUCCGGAACGGCCAGGCUAGAGUGCAGGAGAGGAAGGUAGAAUUCCCGGUGUAGCGGUGAAAUGCGUAGAGAUCGGGAGGAAUACCAGUGGCGAAGGCGGCCUUCUGGCCUGACACUGACACUGAGGUGCGAAAGCGUGGGUAGCAAACAGGAUUAGAUACCCUGGUAGUCCACGCCGUAAACGAUGUCGACUAGCCGUUGGGACCUUUAAGGACUUAGUGGCGCAGUUAACGCGAUAAGUCGACCGCCUGGGGAGUACGGCCGCAAGGUUAAAACUCAAAUGAAUUGACGGGGGCCCGCACAAGCGGUGGAGCAUGUGGUUUAAUUCGAUGCAACGCGAAGAACCUUACCUACCCUUGACAUCCAGAGAACUUUCCAGAGAUGGAUUGGUGCCUUCGGGAACUCUGAGACAGGUGCUGCAUGGCUGUCGUCAGCUCGUGUUGUGAAAUGUUGGGUUAAGUCCCGUAACGAGCGCAACCCUUGUCCUU
rnacentral:rRNA from 1 species